rnacentral:lncRNA from 1 species
CAUCAGUUGGCGAGAGAAAGGCACUGAAGAAAUUUUCAGAUUCAUCGACCACAGUCCUCCGAACUGGCUUUGUGAUUGCUUUAGGAGAGGCUAUUGGUGGACUCUGAGGUUCAGUGUUUGAUUUCAACCCCCAGGUUGAAGUAUCCCAUCCUCCACUGACAGGGGAACUUAUUCCUUUAACAAAAAAGUAAAUAUUAAAAAAGAACACAUAUAUGUUACAUUAAUAUUUCAAUCAUCAUUAUAAAUCAGUAUAAAUAUAAAUUUAGAAAAAAUACCCUAUGAAAUACCUGUAAUUUGCACCUGCUAAACUCCUUGCUUACUACAUCAUUAAGUAGUUUCCAAGUUAAUACAGGGACUUACGGAAGAAAACUGGUGUGGGUCCACCUGAGAGGAAGGAGGAGCACAGACAAAAGACUGGGCCUGGCCUGGACUACCAGAUGCGAGGUGGCUGUGAUGGCUGGAGAUUUCAUUUGCCUAAAGAUUAUGAUGAGAGAGAAGUAUCAAACAUAAUUUUUAUCAAAAGAUAAUUUUUUUAAGGUUUCAAAAAUCACAAAAAUGAUUUUUACAACAUAACAAAAAUCUACAAUACUUACAGAGAAGCACUAUUGGUUAGAUAAUCCAAAACCUCCUGUAGUUUAGCUGAUGGAGAAAA